UUUUAAUGUUUCAUAUACUUAGAACUUCAAAAUGGUGGUGGUUGGGGUCUGUCUUCUUACCUGCUGGAGGCCCUGCCAGGUGCUAGCCAGAAGCAGUCAUUAUUGCUUAGGCAGUCGUUGUGGGAGGCUGGGUGUGGCUCUCGCGGAGCCAGAAUGAAGGAUAGCAACUCAUUAACACACACACACCCACCCCUAAACACACACGUGCACCUACACACAGCUGGGAGUCCUAAGGAAGAGACCACACCUUUUUUGUUUUUUGCUUUUUUACCACCUUCAUUAUGAGUCUAAAGUCAAUUCAAUUAACCAGCUAUUUGAAAUUUUUACAUCUAACAGGAGCUGAGAAGAUCCAGUGGGUUAUUGGUUAGAAUAGCUGGUGGGGCUGGUGGGUCGGGGUAGGUGAGAGGAGGGAAGGGUGAUGUGGAGGAUGGACUGGGGUGUUUGCUGCAAGGUGGGUAGCUGAGGGUUGGUUCAGGUGUUUGGCAUUGGUUGGGAUCCAAUAGCUGUUGUCUGAGAGUCUGCUCGUCAUCUCUUCCUGCUGAGGCUGGUGGGACUGAACUGACCUUCAUAUCUCAGCGAUGAGUCCUGUAGACUGCAGGCUCCACGGCAGUUGCAGCUCCCAGGGCUUCAGAUUGGAGCUGCCUGUGACAUGCAGAGGUGGAAGCACAGCCUCAGCUGUGGUGGACGGCAGCCUCUUUCAGCCCCCAGGUGCAUAACAAAGGCUGUCUUGAUUGUAUCUGUGAGAGUGCCAUGAUUUGGGGUUUUCUCUGUCGGUUUGGACCAGAUCAGAAAGCAAUUGGGACUAUUGUGUCUCUCAUGGAAACCCAAGGUGGGAGAAAGAAGCAGAAGGAGAUCCUGGAACCAAAAACACUUCAGCAAUGAAGACUGGAUUUUCUCUGAAAUGAACAACAAAAUAAAAUCUCUCCUGUAGAUCUCUAAAGCUCUGUGCAUACUUUGUCUAUGCUUUCUAGACAAUCUUAGCCUUAGGUAUGAAAGGAAUUGAGGUGAAUAGUGGAGCCGUU
rnacentral:lncRNA from 1 species